CAGACAGCCCCCACAGAGGGCAGAGAACUCAGGAAACAGGCUCUCUUUCCUUUGCCAGAAAACAUGACCCUGAGAGGACCUUGGGGCAGGCUACAGACUCUGGGGGCCUCAUUUCCCUUUGCCAGGAAAUUCAGCUCCUCAUAAUGAUCAGCUUCACCAGGGUUCUGUGGUGAUUAUGACAAGGCGAAGAAGAGUUCUGGGAGCAUCACAUAUGAAAGGUGCUAUUUUAAGUGCCAAGACGUUAUGACCAGCCCUGGGCCUGACAAGUACAAACCGAUACCUUGAAUCAUCACCUCUUCUCAGGAUUGAAUUUCACCCACUAAGGUGCUGGUUAAUCACACAGCAGUUAGGCCUUCGUGGACCACGUCACAGCUCCCUUGUAGCCUGUGUUUAACCACAGCAUCUUAGGAUAGGCAAGUUCUGGUCCAAGUCUCUGUAUCAAGGCAAGAUCACAUCUUUGUGUGAAGAAAUUAAUAACCUUAGAUUUUUGUUCCCCAGAACCUUUUUAAAUUAAAAAAAACAAAAGCAUUGAGGCCUUUGAUUUUUACAUUCCAGUCAUUUAUGGAAAUCAUUCCUUAGAAAUAUUUUUUUUUCUCCUUAUAACAAAGAAAAAUAACUAAGCAAAGACACUCAGCACAGUGACCAUGACUGGCAACAUACAAAACACUGUGCCUUAAUAAUCCCCUACUAACUUGUUUUCCCAGAUCUUAGUACAGUGCUUGGCACACAGUAAGCACUAAAUAAAAGUUUGUUGA